CCUACGGGUGGCUGCAGUGGGGAAUAUUGGACAAUGGGGGGAACCCUGAUCCAGCCAUGCCGCGUGUGUGAAGAAGGCCCUCGGGUUGUAAAGCACUUCCAGUGAGGAAGAACGCCUGGUGGUUAAUACCCAUCAGGAAAGACAUCACUCACAGAAGAAGCACCGGCUAACUCCGUGCCAGCAGCCGCGGUAAUACGGAGGGUGCGAGCGUUAAUCGGAAUUACUGGGCGUAAAGCGCGCGUAGGUGGCUUGAUAAGCCGGUUGUGAAAGCCCCGGGCUCAACCUGGGAACGGCAUCCGGAACUGUCAAGCUAGAGUGCAGGAGAGGAAGGUAGAAUUCCCGGUGUAGCGGUGAAAUGCGUAGAGAUCGGGAGGAAUACCAGUGGCGAAGGCGGCCUUCUGGACUGACACUGACACUGAGGUGCGAAAGCGUGGGUAGCAAACAGGAUUAGAUACCCGUGUAGUC
rnacentral:rRNA from 1 species